AUACCCCAUGAUGCUCAGGUCCGCCGCAUCUCCUGGGUCGUGGGGUCGGUCGGUUGGCAGGCAGAAGAUAACGGUUCCUCGUGCCGUUUUGCAGGCCAGCCGGCCCCCAU
rnacentral:sRNA from 1 species